rnacentral:sRNA from 1 species
ACCCAGUCCGCGAGAACCGGCCAGAUCGC